AGCCUGCCGACAGAGAGGGCUGGUGGUCU
rnacentral:sRNA from 1 species